rnacentral:rRNA from 1 species
AUGGAAGAAGGAAUUGAUGAAACUGUGAGCUCAUUGGAUGAAAAAGAUGAUGAGGAGAGUGAAGAACAAGCGGAGGAAGAACAGAUUGACCACCCAUGCCCACCUUCUAAUGAGAGUAACUCUUCAACUCAUACAUUGUUUAAUUUCCCAUCGUUCUUACCGAAGGAUGAACGCUAUGAUAAUUGCUAUGAUCCCGUUGAUUCGUUUGAAAUAUCCCUUUUUGAUGAUGCUUUCUAUGCUUGUGGCCAAGAUGCCAAUAUGAAUUAUGCUUAUGGAGAUGAACUUGCUAUAGUUCCUUAUAUUAAGAAUGAAAUUGUUGCUAUUUCACCCUCACAUGAUAGUCCUAUUGUCUUUUUGAAUUCCCCAAACUACACUAUAUCAGAGAAGUUUGUUCUUAUUAAGGAUUACAUUGAUGGGUUGCGUUCUACCACUACACAUCAUGAUUUUGAUGAGUAUAAUAUGCAUGUGAUUGAUGCUCCUACUUGCAAUUAUUAUGAGAGAGGAACUACAUCUCCGCCUCUUUAUGUUCCAACACGAAAGAAUUGCAAGAAACUGCUUAUGCUAUGUGUUGGCCUUUACUUGAUGUCCAUGAAUUGUUCUUGUAUGACAUGCCGAUGCAUAGGAAGAGAGUUAGGCUUUAUCAUUGCUUGUUAUAUGUUGCUUUUUGCUCACUACUAA